CGCUUCUAGGGUUCCUUCCACUAUUGCGUGCUCGUGAACGACGCGGUUUGUUCUUCCUUUUUUGCGUUCUAGGGUUCAGUUUUUCACCGUAGCUCACGGCGAUCUCAUCUUCGACCCCGAGAAUCUCCGUUUCAUCGGUGUUUUGUUAGGGUUUUACAGAAACUUUAUCGCUCCCCGAGCUCCGAAAAUUUCCUACUUUGCAGUGCGUGAACGUGUCUGUCCGUGUGUUGCAUACGGAGAGAAACUUUACGAAUUCUGUCGCUGAUUUGUUUGGAAUUGCGAUUUUUCUUGUAUAGGUGCUGUGGUCACGAAGCUUUGUAUUAAAACAUAGGAAUUCCACCCUUUUUUGUUUCUGAAAUUUGAAGACUAAUGUCUGGAAGAAAUCGUGUACCUCCUCAUCCAAUGAAAGAUAUUCCACAUGGUGGCUUCCACCCAAUGCACGAGCCCCCCUUUGGAAAAGGACUUGGCCCACGGCCUCAUCCUGCUCUUCUUGAGGAAAUGAGAGAAUCCCAGUUUGGUAUGGCCCCCAGACAGUUCCCUCCUCAUCCAGCUAUUAUUGAGGAACAACUCGCAGCUCAACAUCAGGAGAUUCAAGGCCUUUUGGUUGAUAAUCAAAGACUUGCUGCCACCCACGUGGCUCUUAAGCAGGAACUAGAAGCUGCACAGCAUGAGCUUCAAGAGACGGCUCACUAUGCCAGUUCCUUGCAUGCAGAGAAGGAUAUGCAGAUGAGAGAACUGUAUGAGAAGUCCAUUAAAUUGGAAAUGGAUCUUGGUGCAUCAAAGGCCAUGAGGGCCGAGCUUCUGCAAGUUCACAGUGAUAUUAAGGAGUUUACUGCUGCACGAGAAGAGCUUACAGCUAAGGUUCAAUCAAUGACUCAGGAUUUAACCAGGGUCACUGCAGAUGUACAACAAGCCCCAGCUCUGAAGGCAGAAAUCGAGGGUCUGAAACAGGAGUUGCAGCGUGCACGGGCUGCCAUUGAGUAUGAGAAGAAGGGAUAUGCAGAGAAUUAUGAACAUGGUCAGGUGCUGGAGAAGAAAUUGAUCUCAAUGGCUCGCGAGUUGGAAAAGCUCCGUGCUGAGAUGGCUAAUGCAGAAAAAAGAGCACGUGCUGCUGCUGCUGCUGUUGGGAAUACAGGUUAUAGUGGAAACUAUGCUGAAGUUGGGUAUGCUGGAAAUCCUUAUCCUACCAAUUAUGGUACAAAUUCCAUGAAUCCUGUACAGGCGGCUGCAGAAAACUAUCCUCAAUACGGACCUGGUCCUGGUGCUUGGGGUGCUUAUGAUAUGCAGAGAGCUCAAGGACACAGAUAAGAGUAGUAUGCUGACAUGCUAAGAUGCAGGCUGUUAUUUGGUCCUUUGUGAUGGCAUUUAGACUGGAGCUAGUGUCACUCCCCCUCCGGAAGGGCACGAGCAGGAAUUCAGGGACGUGGCAUGGCCAUCCAAAGUUCAUCAGGAUUCACAUGUUCCAGUCUCUUCUAUCUCGGCUGCUGGAAGGACAAAAUUUCAGCCUAUUGAGUGCUUGUUUGGUACAUACUUUAAGUUUUCUUACUGGACUGUUACUUCUCUUGGUUGAAAUGGAUUUGAGGGACCAUUGUUACAUAAGCUUCAAAUAUUUUGUAUGUUGUGUUUGCCUGACGAUUCAGACUCCAUGUCAGCUUUGUUAUUGUAUUGUAAUGAUGCAUUUAGGCUUUUGCUUCCCAAAUUUGAGCCGAGAAUAGGAAGGAAAAAAGUAGAAAUGAGGUGAGCCUUCUUCUGGGUACUGA